AACGAACGCUGGCGGCAGGCUUAACACAUGCAAGUCGAACGCGUGUAGCAAUACACGAGUGGCGCACGGGUGAGUAACGCGUGGAUAUCUGCCUUUUGGUUCGGAAUAACCCCGGGAAACUGGGGCUAAUACCGGAUGGUUCCUUCGGAAUAAAGAUUUAUCGCCAAAAGAUGAAUCCGCGUACGAUUAGCUAGUUGGUG
rnacentral:rRNA from 1 species